UACGGAGGGGGCUAGCGUUAUUCGGAAUUACUGGGCGUAAAGCGCACGUAGGCGGCUUUGUAAGUUAGAGGUGAAAGCCUGGAGCUUAACUCCAGAAUUGCCUUUAAGACUGCAUCGCUUGAAUCCAGGAGAGGUGAGUGGAAUUCCGAGUGUAGAGGUGAAAUUCGUAGAUAUUCGGAGGAACACCAGUGGCGAAGGCGGCUCACUGGUCCAUUACUGACGCUGAGGUGCGAAAGCGUGGGGAGCAAACAGG
rnacentral:rRNA from 1 species